CAGAGCAGGGACGCGCUCACCCAACUGCGGAGCAUCUGGAAGGUUAUUAGAAGCAGCAGUGGAGCAGUGGCCUUAGGAAACACCCAGAACAGCCCCGUGUGUGUGUAUGUGUGUGUGUGUGUGUGUGCAUAUGUGUGUGUGUAUGCACGUGCACUUGUGCACAGAAGCUAUAACAUUGUAAGUCUGGGAGACUGCAUAUGCUCAGAGCUGCCUCUUAAGAACUCCAGACGACGCUUCACAGUCUUAAAGCAGAGGAAGGCCACAGGGUCUCAGUUGUGCUGUUCAUUCUCCCUCAGAGAACAUUCUCCCUGGAGAUGGACAGCCUGCCCAGGGUACCUGAAGCCUGAACCACUGGAGAGACCAUGGUCUUCUUACCAGCCUUUCACCUCUGAUAAAAGUUUCAAACAAAGCUGGGAGUUUGUUGACUUGUGAAGGCCAGGUGAUCUGUGGACGAUCUCAGGUCAACAGAGCUGAAGAAUGGCAGCAGUUCAGUAAAGGGACAAAGGCCACCAAAGGGAGAGGGGUCGGCAGACUUCUAUAAAGGGCCAGCGGGGAAAUAUUUUCAGCUUUUCAAGCUAAACAGUCUGUUGCCACGUCUCAAAUCUGCAGUUGCAGCGCAAAAGCAACCA
rnacentral:lncRNA from 1 species